CCUACGGGUGGCAGGGAUUCACGCACCUUUUGUGGAAUGAUCGUUCGCAUUGAACGUGCUGCAUGCUGGUUUUCGUGGGUAACCACAAUAGCGGUAUCGACAGACCCUAAAAUAUCAGAGGAGCCCCGAACGCGAUAGGAAAGAUCGGAGUUUCCACCCUUAUUGAGAUGAUGAAUCAGAAUGAAUGUCGUACCGGUCUGGUUGGCGAUUUCACGCAGGGUGUUCAUCAUCGGGGAAAUUUCUGCAACUGAAUUUUCAUCAGCGCCAGGCAUAAACUUGGCCAUGACAUCAAAAAUGACCACAGAAGCAUCCAACCGAUGAAUGCGCUGACGCAAUGCCAGCACUUCGGAAGAGACUUUCAGGUUAAGUGGAGAAAAGUCGAAAAUCAGGUUCGCAGGCGGUUGAAUUCCUCGCGCCUGGCACAGUUGGAGAACACGCGCGCGCAUACCCUAGUAGUC
rnacentral:rRNA from 1 species